ACGAUGAAGAGUUUGAUCCUGGCUCAGGAUGAACGCUAGCGGCAGGCCUAACACAUGCAAGUCGAACGGUAACAGGGAGAAGCUUGCUUUUCCGCUGACGAGUGGCGCACGGGUGCGUAACGCGUAUACAACCUACCUUUUACAGGGGGAUAGCCUUUGGAAACGAAGAAUAAUACCCCAUAGCAAGUGAUUUUCGCAUGGAAGACACUUUAAAGAUUCGUCGGUAAAAGAUGGGUAUGCGUCCUAUUAGCUAGAUGGUGUGGUAACGGCACACCAUGGCAACGAUAGGUAGGGGCCCUGAGAGGGGGAUCCCCCACACUGGUACUGAGACACGGACCAGACUCCUACGGGAGGCAGCAGUGAGGAAUAUUGGACAAUGGGCGAGAGCCUGAUCCAGCCAUGCCGCGUGCAGGAAGACUGCCCUAUGGGUUGUAAACUGCUUUUAUACGGGAAGAAACCCGUCCACGUGUGGGCGGCUGACGGUACCGUAAGAAUAAGGAUCGGCUAACUCCGUGCCAGCAGCCGCGGUAAUACGGAGGAUCCGAGCGUUAUCCGGAAUCAUUGGGUUUAAAGGGUCCGUAGGUGGACGAUUAAGUCAGAGGUGAAAUCCUGCAGCUCAACUGUAGAAUUGCCUUUGAUACUGGUCGUCUUGAAUUAUUGUGAAGUGGUUAGAAUAUGUAGUGUAGCGGUGAAAUGCAUAGAUAUUACAUAGAAUACCAAUUGCGAAGGCAGAUCACUAACAAUAUAUUGACACUGAUGGACGAAAGCGUGGGGAGCGAACGGGAUUAGAUACCCCGGUAGUCCACGCCGUAAACGAUGGUCACUAGCUGUUCGGACUUCGGUCUGAGUGGCUAAGCGAAAGUGAUAAGUGACCCACCUGGGGAGUACGUUCGCAAGAAUGAAACUCAAAGGAAUUGACGGGGGCCCGCACAAGCGGUGGAGCAUGUGGUUUAAUUCGAUGAUACGCGAGGAACCUUACCAGGGCUUAAAUGUAAGUUGCAUGGGGUAGAGAUGCCCCUUUCUUCGGACUACUUACAAGGUGCUGCAUGGUUGUCGUCAGCUCGUGCCGUGAGGUGUCAGGUUAAGUCCUAUAACGAGCGCAACCCCUGUUGUUAGUUGCCAGCAUGUAAAGAUGGGAACUCUAGCAAGACUGCCGGUGCAAACCGCGAGGAAGGUGGGGAUGACGUCAAAUCAUCACGGCCCUU
rnacentral:rRNA from 1 species